UACGGAGGGUGCGAGCGUUGUCCGGAAUCAUUGGGCGUAAAGGGCGCGCAGGUGGUGCGGUAAGACUGCCGUGAAAUCUCCCGGCUCAACUGGGAGGGGGCGGUGGAGACUGCCGGACUAGAGGCACUCAGAGGCCGGUGGAAUUCCCGGUGUAGUGGUGAAAUGCGUAGAGAUCGGGAGGAACACCAGUGGCGAAGGCGGCCGGCUGGGGGUGACCUGACGCUGAGGCGCGAAAGCGUGGGGAGCGAACCGG
rnacentral:rRNA from 1 species